GAUGAACGCUAGCGACAGGCUUAACACAUGCAAGUCGAGGGGCAGCAUGAUUUGUAGCAAUACAGAUUGAUGGCGACCGGCGCACGGGUGAGUAACGCGUAUCCAACCUUCCGUACACUCAGGGAUAGCCUUUCGAAAGAAAGAUUAAUACCUGAUGGUAUGAUGAGAUUGCAUGAUAGCAUCAUUAAAGAUUUAUCGGUGUACGAUGGGGAUGCGUUCCAUUAGGUAGUAGGCGGGGUAACGGCCCACCUAGCCUACGAUGGAUAGGGGUUCUGAGAGGAAGGUCCCCCACAUUGGAACUGAGACACGGUCCAAACUCCUACGGGAGGCAGCAGUGAGGAAUAUUGGUCAAUGGGCGAGAGCCUGAACCAGCCAAGUAGCGUGAAGGAUGACUGCCCUAUGGGUUGUAAACUUCUUUUAUAAAGGAAUAAAGUCGGGUAAUGCAUACCCGUUUGCAUGUACUUUAUGAAUAAGGAUCGGCUAACU
rnacentral:rRNA from 1 species